rnacentral:rRNA from 1 species
UACGUAGGCAGCAAGCGUUGUUCGGAAUUACUGGGCGUAAAGAGUGUGUAGGCGGUGCUUUAAGUUUGGUGUGAAAUCUCCCGGCUCAACUGGGAGGGUGCGCCGAAUACUGAGAGGCUAGAGUGUGGGAGAGGAAAGUGGAAUUCCUGGUGUAGCGGUGAAAUGCGUAGAUAUCAGGAGGAACACCGGUGGCGAAGGCGGCAUCCUGGACCGGUAUUGACGCUGAGGCGCGAAAGCCAGGGGAGCAAACGGG